rnacentral:rRNA from 1 species
UACAGAGGGUGCGAGCGUUAAUCGGAAUUACUGGGCGUAAAGCGUGCGUAGACGGUUAUUUAAGUCGGGUGUGAAAGCCCCGGGCUCAACCUGGGAAUUGCAUUCGAUACUGGAUAGCUAGAGUUCGGCAGAGGGAAGCGGAAUUUCCGGUGUAGCGGUGAAAUGCGUAGAUAUCGGAAGGAACAUCAGUGGCGAAAGCGGCUUCCUGGACCAGAACUGACGAUCAGGCACGAAAGCGUGGGGAGCAAACAGG